AAGAAAAUCCCAAAAAGGGUAAUAAAAAAAACGAUUGAAAGACGCAUGUCAUUCGUGAUCGUACCAUCGUAAAAGAGGCUCGUACAACAAGAAGCAUUGGAAAUCAGAAUGAAUUGGAAAUAGCAGCAGCAGCAAUAUCAUCAGAAACAGCAUAUAUCAAUUGUUAAGAAAGUAUGUGAAAAAGAUAUUACAAAUUCAAUGUAUCAGCCGUCGAUUGGGGAUAUUAGUGCAGGACAGAUAUACUUUUUUAUAUGACACUGCUGAAUUAGCGCAACAGAGAUGUAUGAUCACAUGUAUACGUACGUGUGAGAGGAAAAGUAGAAUCUUCAAGAGGCCUAUUGCAAACUACCCACAUGUUUACUCACUUUACUACCUACUGAUUAUUUGGUUUUUUACCUGCUCAUGGUU